AUCUAAUGAGAGUGCGCGAUGGUGAUUCAUUUCCCAGGUGUCAUAGGCUGCAAGUCUGUGUUCGCCAAAACUCGUAUGCAGAAAUGAAAUCCCCAAGCACCCACUCCGCACAUCUUCACACAAAGAUCUGCCUCGAAUUUGGAAAAACUGGGACCGAAAAAGGCGUUCUAAUUGGAAGUCCUGCCUAGGACACAUGGCCAGAGCCAGGAGCCAAGAGAUGAACAAAGAACACUUGCUCCCAAGUAUUCCUUCCCAAGCUGAUCUGGGCUCCUGUGCUCAGGGUUGAGAUUCAUC